AUCCAUUGUUAAAAUCAAGGGGAGGUGCGUAACUACCAAAUGUUGUAUUAAGACAGUUUUGAAUUGCUUGUUGCUUUGAUUGUAAACAUUCUGGUCCAUUAGCAGAUAUGAAAACUGUAAAACAAAAUUUGAAUAUACUAGAGUUCUGCCAGUUGUUCAGGUAACUCGAUUAAAAAUAAUUUAAUAAGAUCUAACUAGAUUAUAAAAGAUCAACAGCUGUGAAGCCUUUGUUUCUUUAAAGGGGCACAUACACCUAGAAAUUUCAAGAUUUUUACAUAUUCCUGAAAUACUUUAUUAAAUUGAUCUGGUAAAAAUUACGUAAGUAGGAUAAAGCGCGUUAUGCAAGUAUGCAACGGUAUGCAGGGUAUUUUUUAAAAAUCGUAUUUGAAUGCCAUUGCCAAACUAAAUGGAAAAAAACAUUUAAAAAAACAAUGUUUCCAACACUCCAGCCAUUCAUUCAGAAACAGCUGUGGCUCCUGAAUAAUGGAAAAAUACCAAACCGGUUACAGUUUGAAUAUUUAGUACUUUUUUGUAAAAAUGUUUAUAAAAGUUAUACGUAAUACAUGUACUUUUAAGUAAAUGUAUUUUAUUUUUUU